rnacentral:tRNA from 1 species
UUCUCAGUAGCUCAGUUGGUAGAGCAAAUGGCUGUUAACCAUUGGGACAAAGGUUCAAAUCCUUUCUGAGAAG